UACGUAGGGGGCAAGCGUUAUCCGGAUUUACUGGGUGUAAAGGGGGCGCAGACGGCAAUGCAAGCCAGGAGUGAAAGCCCGGGGCCCAACCCCGGGACUGCUCUUGGAACUGCAUGGCUGGAGUACAGGAGGGGCAGGCGGAAUUCCUAGUGUAGCGGUGAAAUGCGUAGAUAUUAGGAGGAACACCGGUGGCGAAGGCGGCCUGCUGGACUGUGACUGACACUGAGGCUCGAAAGCGUGGGGAGCAAACAGG
rnacentral:rRNA from 1 species